CAAUAGCGUAUAUUAAAGUUGUUGCGGUAAAAAGCUCGUAGUUGGAUUUCUGCUUGAGAUGACCGGUCCACACAAUGUGUGCGCAUCUGGUUCAGCUUAGGCAUCCUCUCGACAGACGUUUCUGCGCUUGAUUGCGUGGAGCGGAUUUCGGGACUUUUACUUUGAGGAAAUUAGAGUGUUCACGGCAGGCUAUCGCCAGAAUACAUUAGCAUGGAAUAAUACUAUAGGAUCUCGGUUCUAUUUUGUUGGUUUCUAGGAUUGAGAUAAUGAUUAAUAGGGACAAUUGGGGGCAUUCGUAUCAACACGUCAGAGGUGGAAUUCUUGGAUUGUGUUGCGACGAACUACUGCGAAAGCAUUUGCCAAGGAUGUUUUCAUUGAUCAAGAACGAAAGUAAGGGGAUCGAAGAUGAUCAGAUACCAU
rnacentral:rRNA from 1 species